AAUCCAUAGGUUAAUGAGGCGAACCGGGGGAACUGAAACAUCUAAGUACCCCGAGGAAAAGAAAUCAACCGAGAUUCCCCCAGUAGCGGCGAGCGAACGGGGAGGAGCCCAGAGCCUGAAUCAGCAUGUGUGUUAGUGGAAGCGUCUGGAAAGGCGCGCGAUACAGGGUGACAGCCCCGUACACAAAAGCGCAUGUGCUGUGAGCUCGAUGAGUAGGGCGGGACACGUGGUAUCCUGUCUGAAUAUGGGGGGACCAUCCUCCAAGGCUAAAUACUCCUGACUGACCGAUAGUGAACCAGUACCGUGAGGGAAAGGCGAAAAGAACCCCGGCGAGGGGAGUGAAAAAGAACCUGAAACCGUGUACGUACAAGCAGUGGGAGCACAGGUUUACCUGUGUGACUGCGUACCUUUUGUAUAAUGGGUCAGCGACUUAUAUUCUGUAGCAAGGUUAACCGAAUAGGGGAGCCGGAGGGAAACCGAGUCUUAAUUGGGCGUUAAGUUGCAGGGUAUAGACCCGAAACCCGGUGAUCUAGCCAUGGGCAGGUUGAAGGUUGGGUAACACUAACUGGAGGACCGAACCGACUAAUGUUGAAAAAUUAGCGGAUGACCUGUGGCUGGGGGUGAAAGGCCAAUCAAACCGGGAGAUAGCUGGUUCUCCCCGAAAGCUAUUUAGGUAGCGCCUCGUGAAUUCAUCUCCGGGGGUAGAGCACUGUUUCGGCUAGGGGGCCAUCCCGGCUUACCAACCCGAUGCAAACUGCGAAUACCGGAGAAUGUUAUCACGGGAGACACACGGCGGGUGCUAACGUCCGUCGUGAAGAGGGAAACAACCCAGACCGCCAGCUAAGGUCCCAAAGUCAUGGUUAAGUGGGAAACGAUGUGGGAAGGCCCAGACAGCCAGGAUGUUGGCUUAGAAGCAGCCAUCAUUUAAAGAAAGCGUAAUAGCUCACUGGUCGAGUCGGCCUGCGCGGAAGAUGUAACGGGGCUAAACCAUGCACCGAAGCUGCGGCAGCGACACUCAGGUGUUGUUGGGUAGGGGAGCGUUCUGUAAGCCUGCGAAGGUGGCCUGUGAGGGUUGCUGGAGGUAUCAGAAGUGCGAAUGCUGACAUAAGUAACGAUAAAGCGGGUGAAAAGCCCGCUCGCCGGAAGACCAAGGGUUCCUGUCCAACGUUAAUCGGGGCAGGGUGAGUCGACCCCUAAGGCGAGGCCGAAAGGCGUAGUCGAUGGGAAACGGGUUAAUAUUCCCGUACUUGGUGUUACUGCGAAGGGGGGACGGAGAAGGCUAUGUUGGCCGGGCGACGGUUGUCCCGGUUUAAGCGUGUAGGUGUGUGUUCCAGGUAAAUCCGGUUCACUUUAACACUGAGGCGUGAUGACGAGGCACUACGGUGCUGAAGCAACAAAUGCCCUGCUUCCAGGAAAAGCCUCUAAGCAUCAGGUAACAUCAAAUCGUACCCCAAACCGACACAGGUGGUCAGGUAGAGAAUACCAAGGCGCUUGAGAGAACUCGGGUGAAGGAACUAGGCAAAAUGGUGCCGUAACUUCGGGAGAAGGCACGCUGACAUGUAGGUGAAGUGAUUUACUCAUGGAGCUGAAGUCAGUCGAAGAUACCAGCUGGCUGCAACUGUUUAUUAAAAACACAGCACUGUGCAAACACGAAAGUGGACGUAUACGGUGUGACGCCUGCCCGGUGCCGGAAGGUUAAUUGAUGGGGUCAGCGCAAGCGAAGCUCCUGAUCGAAGCCCCGGUAAACGGCGGCCGUAACUAUAACGGUCCUAAGGUAGCGAAAUUCCUUGUCGGGUAAGUUCCGACCUGCACGAAUGGCGUAAUGAUGGCCAGGCUGUCUCCACCCGAGACUCAGUGAAAUUGAACUCGCUGUGAAGAUGCAGUGUACCCGCGGCAAGACGGAAAGACCCCGUGAACCUUUACUAUAGCUUGACACUGAACAUUGAGCCUUGAUGUGUAGGAUAGGUGGGAGGCUUUGAAGCGUGGACGCCAGUCUGCGUGGAGCCGACCUUGAAAUACCACCCUUUAAUGUUUGAUGUUCUAACGUGGACCCGU
rnacentral:rRNA from 1 species